ACCUGGGUGGCUCAGUUGGUUAAGCUUCCGACUUCAACUCAGGUCAUGAUCUCACAGUUUGUGGGUUCAAGCCCCACAUCAGGCU
rnacentral:tRNA from 1 species